rnacentral:siRNA from 1 species
AGCCAUAGCACAAACGUACUAGGA